AUUGAACGCUGGCGGCAGGCCUAACACAUGCAAGUCGAGCGGAGCGGCGGACGGGUGCGUAAUGCCUAGGACUCUGCCUGGUAGUGGGGGAUAACGUCCGGCAACGGGCGCUAAUACCGCAUACUAUCAGAUUAGCCUAGGUCGGAUUGGCUCUUUGGUGGGGUAAAGGCCUACCAAGGCGACGAUCCGUAACUGGUCUGAGAGGAUGAUCAGCCACACUGGAACUGAGAAACGGUCCAGACUCCUACGGGAGGCAGCAGUGGGGAAUAGUGGACAAUGGGCGCAAGCCUGAUGCAGCCAUGCCGCGUGUGUGAAGAAGGCCUUCGGAUUGUAAAGCACUUUAAGCUGGGAGGCGUUACCAACAGAAUAAGCACCGGCUAACUCCGUGCCAGCAGUCGCGGUAAUAC
rnacentral:rRNA from 1 species